rnacentral:rRNA from 1 species
AGAGUUUGAUCCUGGCUCAGGAUGAACGCUAGCGGCAGGCUUAAUACAUGCAAGUCGAGGGGCAGCAUGGUGUAGCAAUACACUGAUGGCGACCGGCAAACGGGUGCGGAACACGUACAGAACCUUCCUUCGAGCGGGGAAUAGCCCAGAGAAAUUUGGAUUAAUACCCCAUAGUACAACGGAGUGGCAUCGCUUUGUUGUUAAAGAUUUAUCACUUGAAGAUGGCUGUGCGGCUGAUUAGGUAGUUGGCGGGGUAACGGCCCACCAAGCCUGCGAUCAGUAACUGGUGUGAGAGCACGACCAGUCACACGGGCACUGAGACACGGGCCCGACUCCUACGGGAGGCAGCAGUAAGGAAUAUUGGUCAAUGGACGAAAGUCUGAACCAGCCAUGCCGCGUGGAGGAUGAAGGUCCUCUGGAUUGUAAACUUCUUUUAUAUGGGACGAAAAAAGGCUUUUCUAGGUCGUCUGACGGUACCAUAUGAAUAAGCACCGGCUAACUCCGUGCCAGCAGCCGCGGUAAUACGGAGGGUGCAAGCGUUAUCCGGAUUCACUGGGUUUAAAGGGUGCGUAGGUGGGUUGGUAAGUCAGUGGUGAAAUCCCCGAGCUUAACUUGGGAACUGCCAUUGAUACUAUCAGUCUUGAAUACCGUGGAGGUCAGCGGAAUAUGUCAUGUAGCGGUGAAAUGCUUAGAUAUGACAUAGAACACCAAUUGCGAAGGCAGCUGGCUACCCGAAUAUUGACACUGAGGCACGAAAGCGUGGGGAUCAAACAGGAUUAGAUACCCUGGUAGU